AAUUAAGGUCAGCAAAAAAUUACAACAGUCCAAUCCAGGCAGGACGACAAAUAGCCCAGACCCUUCAGGAAUGAAGGUUUGGGUCACUCCACCAGGAAAAAAACCA